CCCAACAAGCUGCUCGGAUGGCUGAGCCCCUCAGCAGUGACUUCUGUGCGGGUGGCCCCGGAGCACGGCCUCUGUGAGGGGUGGGGGCUAUGUCAGGGGUGUCAGGGAUCAGAGGUCCACAACCAAUCAAGAUUUCUGUUAUGUUAUUAUGAUAUGUCAGAAGUUUUCAGAAUCUGUCUUCAGCCUUGGCCCAAAGAAUAUCAAUGAUGAUGCCCUGUCCCGUUACCUUUUUGUUUCUUAUUAUAAAUGAUCUUUUUAUUGCAUGUACAUUUUUGAUCCCAC